rnacentral:rRNA from 1 species
AUUGAACGCUGGCGGCAUGCCUUACACAUGCAAGUCGAACGGCAGCACGGGAGCAAUCCUGGUGGCGAGUGGCGAACGGGUGAGUAAUAUAUCGGAACGUGCCCGGUCGUGGGGAUAACGUAGCGAAAGCUACGCUAAUACCGCAUACGAUCUACGGAUGAAAGCGGGGGGAUCGCAAGACCUCGCGCGAUUGGAGCGGCCGAUAUCAGAUUAGGUAGUUGGUGAGGUAAAGGCUCACCAAGCCGACGAUCUGUAGCUGGUCUGAGAGGACGACCAGCCACACUGGGACUGAGACACGGCCCAGACUCCUACGGGAGGCAGCAGUGGGGAAUUUUGGACAAUGGGCGCAAGCCUGAUCCAGCAAUGCCGCGUGCAGGAUGAAGGCCUUCGGUUGGUUAAACUAGU